rnacentral:rRNA from 1 species
CGGGGUAGGAGUAACGCGUGAGGAACCUGCCUCAAAGAGGGGGACAACAGUUGGAAACGACUGCUAAUACCGCAUAAGCCCACGGCUCGGCAUCGAGCAGAGGGAAAAGGAGCAAUCCGCCUUGAGAUGGCCUCGCGUCCGAUUAGCUAGUUGGUGAGGUAACGGCCCACCAAGGCGACGAUCGGUAGCCGGACUGAGAGGUUGAACGGCCACAUUGGGACUGAGACACGGCCCAG